rnacentral:rRNA from 1 species
AGAGUUUGAUCCUGGCUCAGGAUGAACGCUAGCGGCAGGCUUAACACAUGCAAGUCGAGGGGUAGAGUGGGCUUGCUCACUUGAGACCGGCAAACGGGUGCGGAACACGUACACAACCUACCUUUAUCUGGGGGAUAGCCCAUAGAAAUGUGGAUUAAUACCCCAUAGUAUUGUUGACUGGCAUCAGUUGAUAAUUAAAGAACUUCGGAUAGAGAUGGGUGUGCGUAAGAUUAGCUAGUUGGUGAGGUAACGGCUCACCAAGGCAACGACCUUUAGCUGAUGUGAGAGCAUGAUCAGCCGCACGGGCACUGAGACACGGGCCCGACUCCUACGGGAGGCAGCAGUGAGGAAUAUUGGUCAAUGGACGGAAGUCUGAACCAGCCAUGCCGCGUGAAGGAUGAAGGCGUUCUGCGUUGUAAACUUCUUUUAUCUGGGAAGAAACCAUCUUUUUCUAAGGAUGUUGACGGUACCAGAGGAAUAAGCACCGGCUAACUCCGUGCCAGCAGCCGCGGUAAUACGGAGGGUGCAAGCGUUAUCCGGAUUUACUGGGUUUAAAGGGUGUGUAGGCGGACAUUUAAGUCUGGGGUGAAAUCUCCGAGCUCAACUCGGAAACUGCCUUGGAUACUAUUUGUCUUGAAUUAUGUUGAGGUAGGCGGAAUAUAACAUGUAGCGGUGAAAUGCAUAGAUAUGUUAUAGAACACCGAUUGCGAAGGCAGCUUACUAAGCAUAUAUUGACGCUGAGGCACGAAAGCGUGGGUAGCGAACAGGAUUAGAUACCCUGGUAGUCCACGCCCUAAACGAUGAUUACUCGAUGUUCGCGAUACUCUGCGGGCAUCCUGGCGAAAGCGUUAAGUAAUCCACCUGGGAAGGACGUCCGCGGGGAUGAGGCUCAAAGAAAUUGACGGGGGUCCGCACCAGCGGUGGAGCAUGAGGUUUAAUUCUAUGAUACUGCAGGAACCUUACCUGGGCUAGAAUGUUAGUGACGGAUCCUGAAAGGGGUCUUUCCGCAAGGACACGAAACUCGGUGCUGCAUGGCUGUGGUCAGCUCGUGCCGUGUGGUGUUGGGUUAAGUCCCGCAACGAGCGCAACCCCCAUCUUCAGUUGCCAUCUGGUAAUGCCGGGAACUCUGAAGACACUGCCGACUGCCGGCGUGAGGAAGGAGAAGGCGAUGAUAACGUCUCAUGGCCUUGUAUGCCCAUGGCUAGACAUUCGCUACUGUGACAAUGACUGGUAGCGACUACUGCGAGACCGGAUGGUGAACUCAAACACCU